CCUACGGGCGGCAGCAGUGGGGAAUAUUGCACAAUGGGCGCAAGCCUGAUGCAGCCAUGCCGCGUGUGUGAAGAAGGCCUUCGGGUUGUAAAGCACUUUCAGCGGGGAGGAAGGCGUUAAGGUUAAUAACCUUGUCGAUUGACGUUACCCGCAGAAGAAGCACCGGCUAACUCCGUGCCAGCAGCCGCGGUAAUACGGAGGGUGCAAGCGUUAAUCGGAAUUACUGGGCGUAAAGCGCACGCAGGCGGUCUGUCAAGUCGGAUGUGAAAUCCCCGGGCUCAACCUGGGAACUGCAUUCGAAACUGGCAGGCUAGAGUCUUGUAGAGGGGGGUAGAAUUCCAGGUGUAGCGGUGAAAUGCGUAGAGAUCUGGGGGAAUACCGGUGGCGAAGGCGGCCCCCUGGACAAAGACUGACGCUCAGGUGCGAAAGCGUGGGGAGCAAACAGGAUUAGAUACCCGAGUAGUC
rnacentral:rRNA from 1 species